rnacentral:rRNA from 1 species
CGCGUAGGUGGUUUGAUAAGGGUGUGGUGAAAGCCCGGGGCUCAACCCCGGGUCUGCCGUGCCGACUGUUAAACUUGAGGGCUGUAGAGGCAGACGGAAUUCCGGGUGUAGCGGUGGAAUGCGUAGAGAUCCGGAGGAAGACCGGUGGCGAAGGCGGUCUGCUGGGCAGUUUCUGACACUGAUGCGCGACAGCGUGGGGAGCAAACA